rnacentral:rRNA from 1 species
AGAGUUUGAUCAUGGCUCAGAGCGAACGCUGGCGGCAGGCUUAACACAUGCAAGUCGAGCGGGCAUAGCAAUAUGUCAGCGGCAGACGGGUGAGUAACGCGUGGGAACAUACCUUUUGGUUCGGAACAACCCAGGGAAACUUGGGCUAAUACCGGAUAAGCCCUUACGGGGAAAGAUUUAUCGCCGAAAGAUUGGCCCGCGUCUGAUUAGCUAGUUGGUGAGGUAACGGCUCACCAAGGCGACGAUCAGUAGCUGGUCUGAGAGGAUGAUCAGCCACAUUAGGACUGAGACACGGCCCAAACUCCUACGGGAGGCAGCAGUGGGGAAUAUUGGACAAUGGGCGCAAGCCUGAUCCAGCCAUGCCGCGUGAGUGAUGAAGGCCCUAGGGUUGUAAAGCUCUUUUGUGCGGGAAGAUAAUGACGGUACCGCAAGAAUAAGCCCCGGCUAACUUCGUGCCAGCAGCCGCGGUAAUACGAAGGGGGCUAGCGUUGCUCGGAAUCACUGGGCGUAAAGGGUGCGUAGGCGGGUCUUUAAGUCAGGGGUGAAAUCCUGGAGCUCAACUCCAGAACUGCCUUUGAUACUGAAGAUCUUGAGUUCGGGAGAGGUGAGUGGAACUGCGAGUGUAGAGGUGAAAUUCGUAGAUAUUCGCAAGAACACCAGUGGCGAAGGCGGCUCACUGGCCCGAUACUGACGCUGAUGCACGAAAGCGUGGGGAGCAAACAGGAUUAGAUACCCUUGUAGUCC